AAAGAAAGGAAGAAAAGAGAAAGAGAAAAGAGUGAGAACAGAGAAUAAAAGCAUAAUGUCAAUGUGAGCUUUUCAGAGCUUUUUACCAGCUGAUCACACUUCCUGUUUCUCUGAGGGCUUCCCUGACAGGCAACUUGCUUCCUAUUUGGUCAUUGCCCUCUCACCUUCCUGGGUGAGUCAGCGCAGUUGACCCCCAACACACUUCAAGCUUCUGGGCUCCCGUGUGUGCUCUGCCCAUUUCCUGGUCUUCCCAGGUAAUCCCCCUGCACAGAGAAGUCGCCCCGCCCCAACCACAGCCCACAGCCCACACCCCUCUGCCUCUGCGACAGCCCUGCAUGCACUGGGGACGUGAGUCAGGGCAUUUAACCAUUCUCUCCUUCUGAUGCUAUUAUUGGAAUGCCUAUUCACUCAGUUACACGCCUGCUUCCCGUAUUUCGCAGGCCAGGGCUCCAGGAGCUGCUAGCCACGCACUGCUUGGUCCGAGAUGCCACUUGGAUGAUCACAUGCUGGUUGCUCAGAAGAGUGUGUGCUUCCAAGAAAGCAGUGAUGACCGAGGCUGCAGAGUCACAAGCUGUUUCUCCAUUUAAGGUCCAAACUGAGAAGACUGGACAAAAGCUGAGCCAGAUGGAGGACACUGAUAUAAGGCAGGACCACUUAUCUGUCACUCCUGUCUGGCCACAUAGAGUAAGCCAGCUCUGGAUGUAUUUUACAAUUCACCUUCAUUCUACCAGUAACAGAGAGAGGCUCCAUGAGGCCUUGUUCCUUCAGACAUAAGCAGCUAUAUGAUGACAAAUGGACUGUGAAUGCUGAUAACUGAAAUGAUACCAAGUCACAGCCUCCCAAUGAAGUGAGAAGUUAAGAUUGAAACAUUUGGAUUUCUAGAGCUCCGGGACCACCUUGUCAGAUCACAAAUCAAGGGUUAAUCUCUGCAGCAAAUGAUAUUUAGAUUCUACUAUAUUUAUCUUGGAACGCUAGGACGUAAGCCCACGGAAGGUGGAUACUAACCUUUCUCAACCGCCAUACUGUCUGGGCACCAGUUAUGAGGAAAAGUGAAAGUUAGAAUUAUGUUCUUCAAUUAAAGAAGAUCUCAGAAGAUGGAAAGAUCUCCCAUGCUCAUGGAUUGGCAGGAUCAACAUUG